rnacentral:rRNA from 1 species
AGCGAACGCUGGCGGCAGGCUUAACACAUGCAAGUCGAGCGCCCCGCAAGGGGAGCGGCAGACGGGUGAGUAACGCGUGGGAACGUGCCCUUUAGCCCGGAAUAACCCAGGGAAACUUGGGCUAAUACCGGAUACGUCCGUAAGGAGAAAGAUUUAUCACUGAAGGAUCGGCCCGCGUAAGAUUAGCUAGUUGGUGAGGUAACGGCUCACCAAGGCAAUGAUCUUUAGCUGUUCUGAGAGGAAGAUCAGCCACACUGGGACUGAGACACGGCCCAGACUCCUACGGGAGGCAGCAGUGGGGAAUAUUGGACAAUGGGCGCAAGCCUGAUCCAGCCAUGCCGCGUGAGUGAUGAAGGCCUUAGGGUUGUAAAGCUCUUUUACCAGGGAAGAUAAUGACGGUACCUGGAGAAUAAGCCCCGGCUAACUUCGUGCCAGCAGCCGCCGUAAAA